AGAUUGAACGCUGGCGGCAGGCCUAACACAUGCAAGUCGAGCGGUAGAGAGGUGCUUGCAUCUCUUGAGAGCGGCGGACGGGUGAGUAAUGCCUAAGAAUCUGCCUAGUGGUGGGGGAUAACGUUCGGAAACGGACGCUAGUACCGCAUACGUCCUACGGGAGAAAGCGGGGGACCUUCGGGCCUCGCGCCAUUAGAUGAGCCUAGGUCGGAUUAGCUAGUUGGUGAGGUAAUGGCUCACCAAGGCGACGAUCCGUAACUGGUCUGAGAGGAUGAUCAGUCACACUGGAACUGAGACACGGUCCAGACUCCUACGGGAGCAGCAGUGGGGAAUAGUUGGACAAGUGGGACGAAAAGCCUAGAUCCAGCCAUCGCCGCGUGUG
rnacentral:rRNA from 1 species